GAUGAUGAUGAUGAUAAUGUUGAUCCGUAAUCAAUUCCAGUGAGCAGUCAGAAAGCGCCUGGACAAGGAGAUUGCCCUUGGUGGAGUUGCGGGUGUAUCCCCAGGAAUCGUGGGGUGCAUUGAAGUCACCCGCUAUCACUAUGGGGGCCCCCUUAUUCAGGGCCACCGCCUUUGUCAUGAUCGUGGCGAAUGCCUGCCGUUGAUCCGACGGCGAGCUGUAUAUGUUUAAAAGGAAGA
rnacentral:lncRNA from 1 species